GUCUUCGUGGCUCAGUUGGUUAGAGCGUUGGUCUCAUAGAAAUACCACAAAUAUAUACAUGACUCAACCCUCACAGGUGUUGGGAUAUCCAAAGGUCGUGAGUUCGAGCCUCACCGAGGACA